rnacentral:lncRNA from 1 species
AUUCUCAAGACACUGAUACUAUUUAGGCCGCUUUCAGAUCUUGGAGAUAAUGUGGCAUUUAGGGAUCGACAUCCAGAUUUACGGGCUGUUUGGCAACUUUGUGCUGACCCAUUAAAAGGGGCUGUUACGGACAUGGUUUUAAAAAACGGUUGAGGCGUGCGCCUCGAGGCGCGCCUCAAGGCGAAACAGCCAAAAAACGAUUCUGAGGGCCUCAGGGGUUUUAGAUAUUUGUUUUUGAUGUUUUUGCGUUUUUUCAUUAAGAGGGGAUGUUUGGCAACCUUGAUGGGCUGUUGCUGA